rnacentral:lncRNA from 1 species
GCUGUCAUGGCCGCCUCCGAAAGGGCGAUAAGAAGUUUUCUGCUUUCUGAGGGUCUUGGGGGACUGUCUGAUCUGUUAGAAGGCUACCAGCAGACCCUUGGGGUGGCAGAGACCCUGGCAUUCUUGUCCCGGGCGUGGACAAGAGGCCUGAGAGGGUCCAUGCUGGACUUGCAGUGUUUCCAUGAGCCAGGAGGCCUGUGACUGCUUGUGGGGUCGCAGGCGGCCACAUCCUGGUGGUCUGCCCUUCUGCCUUUGACCUGUCUGUCAGUAUGGCCUGUGCCUGGGUGUCUGGAGUGUGCUCUCUGCUCUUAUGGGGCUGGAGAGAUGGCUUAGCAGUUAAGAGCACUGGCUGCUCUUCCAGAGGAUCCAGGUUCAAUUUCCAGGACCCAUAUAGCAGCUCACAGCUGUCUGUAACUCCAGAUCCAGAGGAUCCGACAUGCUCACACAGACUUACACUCAGGAUUUGACAACUGGAUGUGAGAAUCGAACCAAAGCUCCCUGUGUCCACCUGGUUGGCAGAGUGCUUCCCCAGCACAGAAGGAACUGGUACACACGUGGGAUUCAAGCACUCAGGAGCUGGAGGCAGAGCACCAGAAGCUCAGGUAUAAGGGGUUCAGGGUCAGCCUAGGGCACAUGAGAUCCUGCCGAAAGCAACAACCAAACUCAACGUGCUGAACUAUAUUCAGCUGAAGAUCAGAUAGUGCAGUGGAUGGCAGAGCUGUUAAGAACAGGUAAUGAAGACUUGGACCCUUGUCUCAAUUGUUAAGCUAUGAUAGUAUUCUUAAAAACAUCCAACUUCUAUAGAGUUCCCUAAUUAUGAAAAUUUCUUUUAUACAGUUUAGUACUCCUGGUUUUGCUGUGCAAAUUGAAUGUGGAUUUGUAGAAAUUUGUACCAAAAUGUAGAAAAACUGCCAAAGAACUUCAAUGGAAAUCUUUAUGUACUAUUACAAUGAAAUGCUGUUAAUUCAUGUUGCUUACAUUAAAGACUAUUUUCAACUUUAAAUAUUUUAAAUAAAUGAUUCUGAAGUCCCA